GACGGGGGGUGCGAGCGUUGUCCGGAAUCACUGGGCGUAAAGGGCGCGUAGGUGGCGUCGUAAGUCUGUGGUGAAAGCCCGGAGCUCAACUCCGGGUCUGCCGCGGAUACUGCGAGGCUUGAGUGCUGUAGAGGGGGGUAGAAUGCCGGGUGUAGCGGUGGAAUGCGUAGAGAUCCGGCAGAAGACCGGUGGCGAAGGCGGCCCCCUGGGCAGUAACUGACACUGAGGCGCGACAGCGUGGGGAGCAAACAGG
rnacentral:rRNA from 1 species